rnacentral:rRNA from 1 species
AGACCAGCGUCACAGUAACAAACUAAAAAUACCCCAAAAAACUAAAUUCUCCUAUACACCAACCGGAUAAUUCUACAAAAAUGUAGAAGAAAUUAUGCUAAAAUAAGUAAUUAGAACUACUUCUUCAGACAGAACUCUAAGUAACAUUACACCCAACAGACCCAAAAAAGAAAUAUGACACCCAAUUCAACAACACAUAAAACACACUGUUAACCCAACACAGGACUGUCCACUCAUAGGCUAAAAACCUUAAAAGGAACUCGGCAAACCCCUUCUCCAACUGUUUACCAAAAACAUAGCUUCUAGCCGGACAAGUAUUAGAAGUAACGCCUGCCCUGUGGAACCCUAAACGGCCGCGGUACAAAACCGUGCAAAGGUAGCACAAUCACUUGUCCCUUAAAUGAGGACCCGUAUGAAAGGCAACAUGAGAGAAAACCUGUCUCCUAAGGUGAGCCAAUGAAAUUGAUCUAUCAGUACAAAAGCUGAUAUAAUAAAGCAAGACAAAAAGACCCUAUGGAACUUUAACGAGUUACUUACACAAAAUAAGCAAUAGUUUCAGUUGGGACAACUUUAGAAAAAAUAAACCUCUAACAUACUACUCGACCAACAAGUCUCCAAUAUACUACAAGACCCAGUAAUACUGAUAAAUGAAACAAGCUACCCUAGGGAUAACAGCGCUACCUUCUCAAAGAGUCCAUAUCAACAAGAAGAUCUACGACCUCGAUGUUGGAUCAGGGUACCCAGACGGUGCAGCAGCUGUCAAUGGUUCGUUUGUUCAACGAUUAACACCCUACGUGAUCU